rnacentral:rRNA from 1 species
GAUGAACGCUGGCGGCGUGCCUAAUACAUGCAAGUCGAGCGAAUGGAUUAAGAGCUUGCUCUUAUGAAGUUAGCGGCGGACGGGUGAGUAUCACGUGGGUAACCUGCCCAUAAGUCUGGGAUAACUCCGGGAAACCGGGGCUAAUACCGGAUAACAUUUUGAACCGCAUGGUUCGAAAUUGAAAGGCGGCUUCGGCUGUCACUUAUGGAUGGACCCGCGUCGCAUUAGCUAGUUGGUGAGGUAACGGCUCACCAAGGCAACGAUGCGUAGCCGACAUGAGAGGGUGAUCGGCCACACUGGGACUGAGACACGGCCCAGACUCCUACGGGAGGCAGCAGUAGGGAAUCUUCCGCAAUGGACGAAAGUCUGACGGAGCAACGCCGCGUGAGUGAUGAAGGCUUUCGGGUCGUAAAACUCUGUUGUUAGGGAAGAACAAGUGCUAGUUGAAUAAGCUGGCACCUUGACGGUACCUAACCAGAAAGCCACGGCUAACUACGUGCCAGCCGCCGCCGUAA